GAAAAAGAGGGAAAAAAAAAGGGACAAUAUGUGCGCGUUUCCUCUUUUUCAUUUUCCGCAUUGCUCUAGUCCGUCUGAAGGGGUAUGAAGAACGAAAGGGGCCGAUCUGAAAGAACGAAAAACCCUUGUCCUUGGAUCUCACGAUUUCUGUUCGUCUCUCUACUGUCGACGGGCGUUCUUGACGACGGUCGUUCUACCAACGACAACCGUUCAACUGAAAAACAGAGCAAAAAGUCCCUCCCUCUCUCGACGGCUGUUCAACCGUCCGUCGAACAUUGCUCCAUCACCGAGCAUUGUUCUUCUUCAAUUUGGUCAAGGUCGCUCUAUCACCGUCGUUCCGAGCGUUCUUCUUCAGCCGAACGUUCAUUCGUCGUUCCAAACUUCUUCAGCCGAACGUGAAGGUCAAGCGUUGUUCUAUACGCCGUUCUCGACACGCUUCUUGAGGUUUAGAUCUUUUCAAGCUUCUCUGCGUUUUUCAGCUUCGAUUGGUUCUUCUUCCAGUGUCUUGAUUUUGUUAAAGUUUGCUGAGCUUCUCCCUAUUUUGGAACUGCUGAAGAUUUAAUAGUUAGGCUAAAUCUUGUGGUACGCCCCCUUUUUCUUCUUCCUUCAAUCGCUUUAAAUCAAAUCUGUCAUUGCCUUCCUCCACUUUGCCUUCACAUACACCAUUGUUGACUCUCUCUUUAGGUCUUUACUGGAUACCUGUUAGCUGAAUCUCUCAUUGGACCUGGAGGUUUAAGCUUUGUCAGUGAAAUGUGCAAGUAUGUAACAUUUAUGUCCAUCUCAUUCAGUUGACAAAUUUAUGAACUUCUCUCCCUGAUUCUUUUCUGUUGUAACAUUCUGUUUUAUUAUAAAGCUAGAUUUUCCUUUUUA